ensembl:lncRNA
AGUUUCAUCUGCAUGGAGCCAUUCAGUACAUGAAGAGAGGUAAGAAGUUCUCUUCCUUUUUUUGGGUGGAACAGCCAGGCCCCUCCAGUUCUCAACUGCAUCCCCAUCAGCCGGAAGAAUGUUUGUGGCAGCAUCAGAUCCCACAAACGGAACAAAUCCGCAUAUUUCCCUCGAUGAAGGAAAGAUGACGAGCAAUGAAGCGAUCGACUCGAACAGGUCAGUCUGGAUCUCAUCAACUGAAUCCACUCUCUCACUUUCCUCUGUCUGUUCAUCUGGAAUGAUGAUGGAGUCUUGAGCAAUUUGGGCUUUCAGGUAUUUCUUGCACCUUUCUGAAGGAAGAGGGGCUCCAGAACUGUCAUCACCUUCUGCCUCACUUAGGGCCACAACAGUGAUAGCAUGCAGUCCCACUGGCAUAUCAUCUUGAUGCAGUGCGCAACAUCAACCCUGAUAAAACAAGGGGGGAGUUUGGCAGACUGGGUUCCAAGAAGGACAUGAAAGCAUUCAUUAAGAGUGGCCAAAUUUGGAAGGUGGCUUGGCUCAGGAUCUCCAACAUCCAUCAGAUCUGCUGCCUUCGCUGACCUCCAUACAGCCGGUUCCAUUCUGCCCUCACACAGCUCUUUAGCAAUCUGUUCACGCAGGUUUCCAGACAUGAACCGCUUGGAGUGGCCAGUGUGCAGGGAGAGAUCUGUAUUUCUCAUGAAACACUGGAGCACCAUUGGAGUAUUAAUUGCUGGCUGUCUGUCACAUGACAUUUCUAACUGGCCAUGACACUCCUUACAGUCGCCUCUGAUGUCCAGAUAAUUAUUGUUGACAGCUGGAUGGACCUUUGCUCUUCGGAACACAAGUGUACAUGUAUUUUUGAUCUUCUUCCAUAUAAGAUCAUUGAUGAUAUGAGUCCAAGUGCCAGGUUUCAAAAUUGUGUAUUCUCUUUUUUGGGUAGGAGAAAACUUGUCAUUGUAUUCAACCUUUUCAGGAAUAAAUUUAACCCAGUCCUCAAAAGGGACUUCUAGUUCAAAAGCUUGACAGUUUUCUUGUCCAGGAGAAAUGCAAUGUGAAUCUAACUCUCCUUCACUAUUACUUUCCUGAUCACUGAUUUCCAAAGCUGACCAGAUGUUGUGUCUAUUUAGCUUCACAAAAGUGUACAGGGCCUUUGCUGACAUCUUGUCUUCUAGCUGCUGACUCAGCUCUUUCCAGACUGAUGCAGCUGGAGUGGCUAUUUUGCCAUUUUGGACUAUGGCCUCUUUUGAAUUGCAAAGAAUUGCAAAAAUGGAAACCUUGUCUACAGAUGGCUUUCGAGGCAUCUAAAUUAAAAAAAAAAAACCCACUAUGAUUAUGAUGGAGCAAAACAUGAUUUGACCUAUAUAUACAGCCAGGAGCAACCCCUCCCCCAAGUUCUCCACCAAUCUACACUUUCAUAUUUUGUGGAAUUAUUGUUUUUAAGAUGGAGCUAUUGAAUUUGUGAGUUUAUUAAAUUGAGUCUGAGUGUUUAACCCAUUAACAUGUACUGUACAGCACUUUAGU